GAUGAACGCUGGCGGCGUGCCUAAUACAUGCAAGUCGAGCGAACAGACGAGGAGCUUGCUCCUCUGACGUUAGCGGCGGACGGGUGAGUAACACGUGGAUAACCUACCUAUAAGACUGGGAUAACUUCGGGAAACCGGAGCUAAUACCGGAUAAUAUAUUGAACCGCAUGGUUCAAUAGUGAAAGACGGUUUUGCUGUCACUUAUAGAUGGAUCCGCGCCGCAUUAGCUAGUUGGUAAGGUAACGGCUUACCAAGGCAACGAUGCGUAGCCGACCUGAGAGGGUGAUCGGCCACACUGGAACUGAGCCACGGUCCAGACUCCUACGGGAGGCAGCAGUAGGGAAUCUUCCGCAAUGGGCGAAAGCCUGACGGAGCAACGCCGCGUGAGUGAUGAAGGUCUUCGGAUCGUAAAACUCUGUUAUUAGGGAAGAACAAAUGUGUAAGUAACUAUGCACGUCUUGACGGUACCUAAUCAGAAAGCCACGGCUAUCUACGUG
rnacentral:rRNA from 1 species